rnacentral:rRNA from 1 species
GAUGAACGCUGGCGGCGUGCCUAAUACAUGCAAGUCGAGCGAACCACUUCGGUGGUGAGCGGCGAACGGGUGAGUAACACGUAGGUGAUCUGCCCAUCAGACGGGACAACGAUUGGAAACGAUCGCUAAUACCGGAUAGGACGAAAGUUUAAAGGUGCUUCUGGCACCGCUGAUGGAUGAGCCUGCGGCGCAUUAGCUAGUUGGUAGGGUAAAGGCCUACCAAGGCGACGAUGCGUAGCCGACCUGAGAGGGUGAACGGCCACACUGGGACUGAGACACGGCCCAGAAUCCUACGGGAGGCAGCAGUAGGGAAUCUUCGGCAAUGGGCGAAAGCCUGACCGAGCAACGCCGCGUGAAUGAUGAAGGCCUUCGGGUUGUAAAAUUCUGUUAUAAGGGAAGAACGACUUUAGUAGGAAAUGGCUAGAGUGUGACGGUACCUUAUGAGAAAGCCACGGCUAACUACGUGCCAGCAGCCGCGGUAACAC